rnacentral:tRNA from 1 species
GUCCCCGUAGCUCAGUGGAUAGAGCAGUCGCUUCCAAAGCGAAAGGUCGCAGGUUCGAAUCCCGCCGGGGACG